AAUAUAUGGGAGCUGUCGUUUAUACUCCUAAAUUAACCUCACUUUCACUUUACAAAUUCAAACAAUUAGCACAGUAGUAAGCAAAGAUCGAUCCCACAGAGAGUGAUUUGUUUUAUAUUUAUCCUAUGAUUUCUAAUGAAAAGGGGAUUUUGAAUUAAUUAAAUUAACAAGAAUAAACUAAUAAGAAUAAACAAUGAAUAAAAAGCUUCAGUUCAGUAUUACCUUUUUACAACAAUAGAUUAAUAGUGUAACAUUAUUUACCCUUCAAUGAAACUAAUAGCUCUAGGUAACAACAAGCUCUGCUACCCGAAACUCCCCUUAGAUUGUCACUCAAUGAAACAAGCUCUUCACAAGAUUGUAACCAUUAUAUAACCUAAAACAAGCUCUCUAGAUUUAAUAUAAUAGUAGCAUUAAGAAUUAGGGAAUUAGACUAUUCCAAGCAACAAACACAUAAGCUCGGAUUGUUUAACUUGUUUUUAGAUAAUCAUAGCAAUACUCAAAAGCUUGUCCACAAUCAGGUAUUACUAAUUAUUACUUGUGAUUAGGAACAAUAUCAAUUACACGUAAUAUUAUUCCUUGAUCUAGCAUAUGAUAUUCGUUAACCAACUCAAUCCUGCAUAAAUCAAAUUAGUUAAGCCAAAUAACAUUCAAAAAUUAAAUCAGAUUAUCAAGAAUGAAUUUCAUGUGAGAAGGAAUAAAUAAUGAAUACUCAAUUAAUCAUUAAUUAUAAAUAAGAUUCAACAUUCCUUAGAACUGAAUAAAAAGAACUUAGCUCAUGUCUUCAAUCCUCCAAUGUUGUAGUAGAUGAUUGAAUGUAGUAAAUGAUUGAAUGAAUAAAACUCUGACUAUCAUCCUCUAUUUAUAGUGCUAGACAAAGUACUAAAUCCUAUGAGAAUUAGAAAAUCCAAAUCCUAAAAGGAAUUAUAAAUCAUAACUAGUUUCCAUAAAGAAAUAGAAUCCAAUUUGGAAAUAAAUCUUAGUCUAAAGAUAUCCUAAAUCUAAUAGAAAUAUCAAUUCAAUUUCAUAUAGAAAUCUGCCAAAAUCUGUUUUUAGAAACUUUCCAAAAAUUCAAGAUUUCCCAAUUUUUCCGCUCAAAUUCGCCCAUAUUUCCUGUUGCGACGUCCUUUGGUAAACCGACCAUAACUUUUGAUCCAGGAGGAGUUACGGGACCUGCUACCUAUCAAAUCGAAACUGUCGACGAGAUCUACAACUUUCAUUCUUUGAGAAUCGACAGAAUCUGGCUGCAUCAAGGUCGAAAUCGGGCUCCAAGUGACUGCUGUGUAAAUUACAACUUCCAAACUUUGAGGUUCAACGUUCGUGUAGUAAAAAGAUCAUAACUUUUUCAUAUGAACUCCGAUUGAGACGAUUCAAAAUGUUCCGGAAAGUUAAUGAAGAGCUCUAUAAUAAAAUCGAAGUCUCAAGCCAAGACCAUGCAUCCAACUUAUUGCUAAAAACCCUGCAAUUUUCUCUUUUUCCUCAUUUCAGCUCCAAUUCUUCCUGAAAUCAUUAUACAACUUAAUAAGCUCAUAUACACAUGAAACAUGUAAUAAAACUAAACAUAAAGGAAUCGAAAUAAAUGAAUAAUAUGCUAUCAUCAAAUUCCCCCACACUUGGCCUUUACACGUCCUAGUGUAAACCAAAAGUUUGAUUUCCAAAAAAAUUCUAUUGAACCAUUAUGUCAAAAGGUUUCAAGGUACAAAUUAUGACUAUCAACACUACACUCACAGAAAUCUAAUCAAGGCCUCAUCAGUUAACUCACAACGAACAACCUUACCAUUUCACCAACGAAUUUCAUUAAACCAACCUGUAACCACAAAAGAAACUUUUCUACAGUCCACAUACUUACUCAACUUGGUUAUUAUGCAACAAAAACCGUGCACACCCGACUCACAAACAAGAACAAAUUUUCCUUACUUUUUAAUUUUUUCAUAGAAUUUUUACUUUAACACAAAUGAAUGUAUUUUCAUGCUCUUCUCGUAUUUUUUCUUUUCUUGACAUGUGUAAUGUCUCCUUUUCUUAGGCUUUUCAGAGUUACCCAUGUAGUGAACUUUCCACCAACGACUCCCAAACCAGAUGAUCUUAGGGCGCUAGAUGUAGAGACACCAAUAGGGCUUAUUUAUUCAAGUAACAAAGGCCACAAAAGUCGACUAGUCAAGCUGCUUUUAUCCAUCACACUUUUCAGCGUGAAUAUCGAUGCUUCCCGAGGCUUAGAUAUCCAGUUAUUUCGCACAAUGGACAUUGAAGCAGAUUUUUCAAUUAUCAAAUUUUUUCUCGUUUUCCCUUUUCCUUUUUUUUCAUUCAUUAUUUUUUUCAACUUUUCUCCGCAUGGUUCUGCAAUAAGCAUAAGCAAGUUAAACAGUUCCAAGUUAUAAAAUCAGUGCACAAAGACAACUUCACAAAUAACUUAGUCAAAUAAACAUACUUCUCAUAUUCAAGUACUCAUGUAUCACAAAUUCAAUUCAAAUCAGUUACUAUGGAUCAUGGCUUAAUUCUCAGCAUUCAUUAACCAAUUAGGCAUCAAACAGAUUUUGAAAUUUAGUAUUGAUUUUCAAUCUUUGACUUUAACCUUCGAGCACAUAGGCAAAUAGAAUCAUGGAACCCAAUUUUUUUAAAAAAAUUCAGAUUUUUUUUUCAACUUCCCAUCAAAAUUGGAUUAUUAUUCCUAAAUAAAACCUAAAUCUUCUCCCAACACUCAAACUUUGCAUUGUCCCCAAUGUAAGAAAAUCAUGCAAAGAAGAAAAUACUACUAGCUAACAUGCAAUAAAAAAAACUAAAAAGUGAAGGGAUAGAAAAAUCAAAUUUGAGAUCUUGGGUUGCCUCCCAAGCAGCUGCCUUUGUUUAUUGCCAUUGGCUUGACAUCAUCCUUCUCAUUCUAUGUAAUUGGACUUGCACUUCAAGUGGACUGGUAACAGUUUCAAUUCAUUAUGAACAUCCUUCAAAUCAUGAUUUUGCUCCAUUCCAACCCUCAAAUCCUUCUUAUAUAUUUGCUCAAGAGAUUUCUGCACUAUAGAGUCAACAACAUCAAUAGCAAAAACAUAAUUAACAUUACCAAAAUACCUCUUAACUUCAUAUAUGCCGAACUGGACAUGUGCAUCAUCCAAUUCCAUAUGUAAGGUCUCAUGGUGUUUAUCAUUAUGUGUUUUUGCUGUUUGCACAGAUGUAUCAUCUAUAUCCUCUUUGUAAAGAUCUGCAUAACUUAUCAAAUUGUUCUCCUCUUCCUCUUGUUCAUCCUUUUCAGACUUUGAAUCCCUGAUUUCUUCUUCAAAUUCAGUAGUAGCCUCAAGAACUUCCAACUGGUUUCCACUAGUGAACUCCUCAUCAUCUUUAAGUUCUUGUUCCCUAUUCGCCAUUUCUUCUAGGAAUUUUUCAUUAGACUCUGUAUACCACGUUGAAUUCUUUCCAACUUUCCAAUUCCUUGUUAGAACUUGGGGAAAUGGUAGUUUCGGUUCAUAAGCUAAAAGAGGUGGAAAUUUGUGCUUGAGUACAUCACUACUACCUGUUUGACUAUUGUCGGACUUGCUUUGUAUUGACUUUCCUUGCUGCUGAUCCUCUGCAUCACAUCUCAAUGUUAUGGCACUUACAUUUUCAACAAUUUGAGAAAGUGACCUUCGUACUGUGGUUGCAAGCUGACCAACUUGGUCCCUCAGAUCUUGAACAGUAGCAUUAAGAAUUAGGGAAUUAGACUAUUUCAAGCAACAAACACAUAAGCUCGGAUUGUUUAACUUGUCUUUUGAUAAUCAUAGCAAUACUCAAAAGCUUGUCCACAAUCAGGUAUUACUAAUUAUUACUUGUGAUUAGGAAUAAUAUCAAUUACACGUAAUAUUAUUCCUUGAUCUAGCAUAUGAUAUUCGUUAACCAACUCAAUUCUGCAUAAAUCAAAUUAGUUAAGCCAAAUAACAUUCAGGAAUUAAAUCAGAUUAUCAAGAAUGAAUUUCAUGUGAGAAAGAAUAAAUAAUGAAUACUCAAUUAAUCAUUAAUUAUAAAUAAGGUUCAACAUCCCUUAGAACUGAAUAAAAAGAACUUAGCUCAUGUCUUUAAUCCUCCAAUGUUGUAGUAGAUGAUUGAAUGUAGUAAAUGAUUGAAUGAAUAAAACUCUGACUAUCAUCCUCUAUUUAUAGUGCUAGACAAAGUCCUAAAUCCUAUGGGAAUUAGAAAUCCAAAUCCUAAAAGGAAUUAUAAAUCAUAACUAGUUUCCAUAAAGAAAUAGAAUCAAAUUUGAAAAUAAAUCUCAGUCUAAAGAUAUCUUAAAUCUAAUAGAAAUAUCAAUCCAAUUUCAUGUAGAAAUAUGCCAAAAUAUGUUUUUAGAAACUUUCCAAAAAUUCAAGAUUUCCCAUUUUUUCUGCUCAAAUUCGCCCAUAUUUCCUGCUGCGACGUCCUUUGGUAAACCGACCAUAACUUUUGAUCCAGAAGGAGUUACGGGACCUGUUACCUAUCAAAUUGAAGCUGUCGACGAGAUCUACAACUUUCAUUCUUUGAGAAUCGACAGAAUCUGGCUGCAUCAAGGUCGAAAUCGGGCUCCAAUUGACUGCUGUGUAAAUUACAACUUCCAAACUUUGAGGUUCAACGUUCGUUUAGUAAAAAGAUCAUAACUUCUUCAUAUGAACUUCGAUUGGGACGAUUCAAGAUGUUCCG
rnacentral:lncRNA from 1 species